AAAAUUUAAAAUUAUAAUACUAAAAUAGUAAGUAAUAAUUUAUUAAAACUUAAAUAAUUUGGCGGUAUUUUAGUUCAUUUAGAGGAAUCUGUUUAAUAAUUGAUAUUCCACGAAUAAAUUUACUUAAUUUAAAAUUUUGUAUAUCGUUGUUAUAAAAAUAUUUUUUAAUAAAAUUAAUAUUUUAAAUUUAAUAUAUUAAUUUAAAUCAGAUCAAGAUGCAGAUUAUAAUUAAGAAUAUAAUGGAUUACAAUAAAUUUAUUUAAAUGAAUAUUAAUUUGUAAAAAUUAAUUGAAAGUGGAUUUAAAUGUAAUUUUAUUUAAUUAAAUAAAAUGAUUAGAUAAUAAAAUAUGU
rnacentral:rRNA from 1 species